UGGAAUUCUUUCCCUAAAUCUCUCUACUUUUCAACCCGCGUUUAAACUGGCAACAUCACUAUAAAUAAAAGUUUAAGGAUGGAUUAUUUUGCAUUUAGUUCGUGUCAGACUAAUGGAAUGAAGGCAAGAUGACCCACAACAGGAGAGAGGGCUCAGAUGGAGGAGUGGCAGACCUUUGAAUCCAUGCCCCUAGUGAAGAGAUGGCAGGUGCUAACAGAUUCUACAAAAGGAACAAGCAAAAGAUGCCACAACACUGCUCCCAUUCCCAUCCGUUCUCCCAUAACACCAGCCCUACCCCAAUCCCCUUCCCCACCCACACCCACCUUUUCCCAUGCAACUGCAGCACCAUUUCCAAAGAUGAUAGCUCGGAAAUGUCAGCAAGAGCCAUGACGCAGCAUUCACCUAUACCUCCUGUUGUGUUAUCACCUUUGAAGUGGUGUCCCAUUAAGAGCUCAACAUGGAACUGAGUCAAAUGCCUGAAUGUUGUCCCAUAACACAAGGCCACUGGCUGUAACACCCAAGACACUGUCUG